rnacentral:rRNA from 1 species
ACGCGAAGAACCUUACCCACCUUUGACAUGUACGGAAUCCUUUAGAGAUAGAGGAGUGCUCGAAAGAGAGCCGUAACACAGGUGCUGCAUGGCUGUCGUCAGCUCGUGUCGUGAGAUGUUGGGUUAAGUCCCGCAACGAGCGCAACCCUUGUCAUUAGUUGCUACAUUCAGUUGGGCACUCUAAUGAGACUGCCGGUGACAAGCCGGAGGAAGGUGGGGAUGACGUCAAGUCCUCAUGGCCCUUAUAGGCGGGGCUACACACGUCAUACAAUGGCUGGUACAAAGGGUUGCCAACCCGCGAGGGGGAGCUAAUCCCACAAAGCCAGUCGUAGUCCGGAUCGUAGUCUGCAACUCGACUACGUGAAGUCGGAAUCGCUAGUAAUCGUGGAUCAGAAUGUCACGGUGAAUACGUUCCCGGGUCUUGUACACACCGA